AAAUUACAAUCUGGAGUCAGCUUGUAGUCUGAGUGUGAAUCGCUGUGGGAAAUACAGGUCAAACUCAAAGAAAGGCAGAGCCAAGAAGAUGAGGAUGGUGAAAGGGAAGAGGAUCCUGCUAUUCGUUUGUACAAGGACACACAUUUUAAGGAACAAGGUGGAUGGGCACAUGAGAAAGCUAAGAGGAAUUUUGAUGCAAUGAAAGAAAAGGCUGCACAAAAUUCUCAAAAUUCUGAUGGUACGAGUCCAUCCAUAAAUGAUGUUGAGAUAGUACAAAACCAACUAGGCAUAAGGAAGGGAUAUUGCCGUGGAUUUGG